AUCAAGUCCCUUUGUCUCUGAGCAAACGUUAGCGAACAGCAAGGAAAGCGGGAGCGUUUGAUCGAAUGCUUUACCCCGUUUUGUCCUUCCUGUUAGAUGCACGGUCGGAAAGGAGACAUUUAUCGAUAUUGGCAUUAUCAGUGCCCAGUUGGCUUUUUUCAACGACUGUUUACAGUUUGCGUGUUACUUUGCUAUGGCUCCCCUUUGCUAGGGCGCCACAACCGAUAAGUGACGGGACCCGUGCGACACGAGUGUUCGUGCGUACUGUUAAACCGAGGAAGCAGUUGGUGAUUGCUUUGAUGCAAGGGCGGCCAGAUAGUCAUCGGUUGAUGGUGGUCAUAGGCAAUUUGUAAAGUCGUGAAUUGUCCUAAUAACACGCAGUGGAAAUCGUAAGUUGCUGAAACUAUCAAAAAGUCGACGCAGUACCUGUGCCUACAUUACAUCAUUGCGUUCAAUCGAGCGACAACAAAUUGAAGACAUAGCGAUUACACUUCUUCUUAUAACCGAAUACAGACGGACUGUUCCAAGAAAAUCUUUAGUUUUAGCGUCAAAAAGGUAUCCUCCUAAAGUGUGUCGUUUUGAUGCAGUCGAAGGGCGUCAUAAACCUAAACGUUUCGUAUCUCGAACGUGUAACUACUGGACACGCAUUGCUCGACCCUCAGUGUAAAAAUGACAGAGACUUAGACAGAUUGACCUCUACCAUGUACAAUUCAUAUCUCAAAACUAUGAUCUGAAAAACACACUGAAUAUUAGUAUCACUCCGUUCUUCAACAAAAAUUUUGCUUGGAAUUUAUCGUUGAAUCCUAAAUGCUCUGCUCUUUGCUUUUAUGUUACUGCCUAUAUUAUGCUGUAUAAAUCGUUUAACCUUUUUUUUAAGAGACAGGUAAGGAAACCCUGUGAAACGGUGGCCUUUACGAGCUUCCGACAAUACCAACACGAUUUGGUAAAUCUCGAAAAAAACGACCGUAUAAAUAUAAUGAUCAGAAAGACGCCGCCUUCCCUUAAUCUGUUAGCACCAUGUGUAUUCGAAAGGCUUUGAAGGCGAGAAACAAUGGAAGUGUAAAAAAAACCACCUUUAGAGUAAUAGCAACAUCACCAAUGGAACUGCGUGAAAAAUAUCUCUCCGAUUCGAUGUUGAUUUUCAAUGCAAUGCAUGACCGCUAUUAAAUAACUAUCUUAACUUCGUGCGAGCUUGUAUUCGGUUAUUUUUUUGUUGUUUCCAAUGCCAGUCUGCAAUUGUACAGAUGAAGCCGGUCACCGAGAUCAUACAGCUUAAAUAAAAUUGUAGAUAGAAAAACGGUUAUUUACGAGUAUUCUUUAUCAUGCCCAUCGAACGCUGGUCAAAAUUCUAAAUUAACCAAUGACAGCCUGCCUAAUUAUGCAGAGUAAUAGGCUGUAACCGUUACUUUCAUCAGAACAUCCUAAAAUAGCGGCGAUGUACCUUGAAACGGUGAUUUCGCGCGUGUCCAUUCGAAAUUGUCUCGUGAUCUCUAUAGAAUUGUCUUGCAGUUUUUGCUGUUAGUGCUAGCGCUACUUCCUGCUGUGUGAACUAAAACCCCUAAAUGGUUGUAUGGAAUGUACUGUAGGCGCUAUUCAAGUAGCA
rnacentral:lncRNA from 1 species